GCUGUUGGGGGUGAGAUUAACCUGGUGAUCUCAUGCCGUGGGUGAUGCAGUAUUACGGCAGGUGAACGCUCCACAGUUUCCAGAGAGCAGAGUCGCCAGAUGCUCAUGCCAAAGGCAGGAAUUCACCAACACAGCGGGAAACCUCAAACCUCAGCCUUACCUGGUCCUGACAGGCUGCAAUCUGACUCUCCCACACCCACACAAGGUGAGGCCUGGCCGUGGGCGGAGAGGUUGCACUGGCCAUCUUUCCAGGGAGGAUCCCUUCAGACAAAACAACAAACAUGCACUCAGACAGAGAAGUAUUAUCUGUUGUUAUUAUUGGAGAUAAUUGUGUCAGAUAAUUACAUCUAUUAGCUAUGUUGUGUCUUUUCUGCCGCUCCAAUGUCAAUAUUGUUUCAAGCUCUGUCCUGAGACCACUGUGGCCCCAUGGGAAAAUACUAUGGAUCAGGUAAAGAGGGGCUGUGAAGGUACCAUGAUGUAAGUGACGUGUAUGGAUGUUAUUUGUCUCUGUAAUAAAGCUCUAACAAUAAUAAUAAUAGUGAUGGCAGGAAAAUACAGCAAUUUUAUUUGUGUAGCAGUUUCAAGGUAUAUUCAAGGAUUAAAGGUAUUUUCAAAGAUCACUGAGAUAAAAAAGUAAGUAUCAUUAAGUCAUCAUAUACUUGAAUUAUAAACCAGUCUAUGGAUUUUACUAUAAUCUCUUGUUUAAUGGAAAAUCAAAUCUGUUUUUUCUUAUUACCAAAGACAGUCUGUCUCCCAGCAUUCCCUGUUUCCUUGUCGUAUAUGAGCGUUUCUGACUUUUGAGGGACUGUUUUGCUCACAGAAGGCUUUUGUGUGCUGCAGGUGUUGAGGUAUAUGAGGCUGCGCUAAGGAGAGUUUUACUCCUAUGGGCCCCCUGAGGCCCUGAGGCCUGGUCCAAGAGAAAGACCAGAAGCUGUUUCAACUUCCUCUGCUGUUGAUUUGUAUGGAACACAACUUCAAACACUGUUCUGGAGAGAGUGCCAUUGUCCCUUGUUAUGUUAACAGUGUCUCAUCUCCUUGUGGUGGAAAAUGUAUCAGGAUUCUUUACUACUUGUAGUACAAGCACAGUAUUCAAAUAGUUUAUUACAAGUAAUAAAUAUAAAACUGUAAAGGUAUAUACACAGAUGUAUCAUAAAAGUAAAAAAAAAAAAAAGGAAAGUGAAAGUUUUAUUAUUCUAAUGUAUCAUUAUUGUUAUUAUUUAAUGUUCUCACGGUGGAGCUAUAACUGUAAUUAUUUUUUAUAUUACUGGACAUGGACAUCUCAACCUAUAAAUGUGUACCAUAUUUAAUAAAACGACUGUGUUUUCCAUGUAAAGUUUAAUCUGUAUGUAUGCCAUUAUCUAUAGGUGUCAGUGGAGUGUAGUGGAGUCUUGUCUAUAUCUGAAUUUAUUUUAUUUUAAAGAUACAGCAACUCCAGAGUGCAGUUCUUACAGGACAAGAUCCCAACAGAAUAAUAUGUACUAUAUAUAAUUUAGUACAAAUUUAAGUCCAGUUUAGAGCAAUGAUAUACAAUACAGUGUGUAAUAUUAGACUAUAGCAGUAAAUGGCGUCCAGUCAACAGGUAGAGCAGCAGAGCAGAGAGCUCCCAGACUGGAUUGUGUUAGCGUCUCUAAAGCCCCUGGAGCCACAACACUGACCUUUCCUGUUAUGGAAAUGUACUGCUGGCUGUUCU